rnacentral:rRNA from 1 species
UACGAGAGGCCCAAACGUUAUUCGGAAUUACUGGGCUUAAAGAGUUCGUAGGCGGCAUGAAAAGCAGGGUGUGAAAGCCCUCGGCUCAACCGAGGAAUUGCGCUCUGAACUGUCGUGCUAGAGGAAUCUAGAGGUGAGCGGAACUGAUGGUGGAGCGGUGAAAUGCGUUGAUAUCAUCAGGAACACCGGAGGCGAAGGCGCUUGCUGGGCUUUUCUGACGCUGAGGUACGAAA